UACAUCCUACAACAAAUUGUAAGAAAUUAGUUACCUACUCAUUUACUAGAAAAUGUUAGAGUGAUUUAUACAGCCAUGGCCAAAAGUAUUAGCCACCCUAAAAAUUCUUAGAAAUUUCUUAUCUUGUGACCUGUACUGGGUCUAUUGUCGCAUAGUACACGUCUAAUGAUUAAAAUGAGCCAAUCAAAACAACGCAUCAUGUCAUAAAACUAUAAACACAAUAGAGGCGACUCAUUUCCAGUUCAUAAAAAAAAAAAAACUACAAAAUAAGCGCCGUGAAGUAACGAGGAACGAUUAAAAAUCCAGUUGUUGUCUAAAGAAGGCAAAAAUAAAAGUGAAUUUGCCAAGAUUAUGAAAUGUCCUCAUAAGUAACAUAAUGUAUACCUUAAAUCAGUAUAAGAUGAUCACAAGACACGAAAACUAGAAAGUGGAAGGAAAAGAAUUGCAUCUGCAGGAGAAGACAGACAAUUAAUGUGAAGGAGAGGGAGACUGUAUAAAAGUCGAUUGUUUGGGUACUUCUGUUCCAUUUGUGUUUUAACUGUAAAGCAUUUUUUUUUUGUAUGGCUGUGUUUCGGUUUGAAGGGUGGGAUAAGACGUAAAUUUACAGGGUACAGAAGAAUAACACCUGAGUCCUCAGGAAUGGCAACGCAUGGGGGGUAUCAUUGGCAAAACAGUAUACUCUGUUAUGUCCAUGGUACUGCUCAUGUCUAUAGGCGACGGUUACCACUUUCCAUCAGGUGGGCCGUCAGCUUGUUUGCCAUUCUAAGUUGUAUAAAAAAAACUUUGAAAAAUUGUAAGAAGGCAUCUUCUGAAUUGGCUACUGAACUAAACCAGAUUCUGGAGAAAAAGCUAUUUGCUAGAACUGCUACAAGAAGGCUCCAGGAUGCUGGACUCAAGGAUUGCAAGGCAAGGAAGAAGCCGUGAUUGUCCAAGAAGAUCUUGAUCUUGCGUUUGCAGUGGUUUUAGAACAUUAACAUUACACCGAGGAAGAUUGAGCGAAUAUUGUUUUGUCUGAUGAAUCCAAUUUUGCGUUAUUUGGUACUACAAGUGCCACCUACGCGAGACACAGAGUUGGCAACAAAUUCAUGCUGGAGUGUGUGGCGCCAACUAAAACAGGGUGGAGGCAGUGUUAUGGUCUGGAGCUGCAUGUCUGUCUCAGGAAUUGGAAAAAUGAUCACGUGUAAAGGCCGAAUGGAUUCGAAAAAAUGUAUCGAGGUGUUGAAAAAAGUGCUGGAUAUUGAAUUGAAUAUGAAGUUCGGUGAUAUGAACCUAGAUGGCCUCCGUUUCAAUAGGACACUGCCCCAUGCUACAAUUCCAGAACUACUACGAGUUGGUUUGAGAAAAAUCGUAUAAAGCUUCUAAGUUGGCCCCCUCAGUUACCGAAUGUUAACCCUAUCGAAUAUUUAUAGCCGAUUUCAAAACAUUUGAUUACUUACAAAAAAAUUUCAAAGAAUUGUUUGAUACAAGAGCGGAAUGCUCUAACUCCAGAAGAAUGUAAAAAUUUAAUUUCCUCUUUAUCCAAAAGAAUAAAUGCUGUAAUUAAAGCGAAGGGUUUAAAUACGAA